GCCAGGCAUGGUGGCGGGUGCCUGUAAUCCCAGCUACUUGGGAGGCUGAGGCAGGAGAAUUGCUUGAACCCAGGAGGCAGAGGUUGCAGUGAGCCAAGAUCUCGCCAUUGCACUCCAGCCUGGGUGACAGAGCAAGACUUUGUCUUUA
rnacentral:SRP_RNA from 1 species